UAUCUCUGUAGAGUCUGCAUAUCAAUAAGCGGAGGAAAAGAAACUAACUAGGAUUCCCUCAGUAACGGCGAGUGAAGCGGGAAGAGCUCAAAUUUGAAAUCUUCAAGGUUCUACCUUGACGAAUUGUAGUUUAAAGAAGUGUUUUCUGUUGGAGUUUUGGUAAAAGUUCUUUGGAAUAGGACAUCAUAGAGGGUGAGAAUCCCGUAUUUGACCAUUAUUUCCAGCUUUGUGAUACACUUUCAAAGAGUCGGAUUGUUUGGGAAUGCAGUCCAAAAUGGGUGGUAAAUUUCAUCUAAAGCUAAAUACUGGCGAGAGACCGAUAGCGAACAAGUACCGUGAGGGAAAGAUGAAAAGAACUUUGAAAAGAGAGUUAAACAGUACGUGAAAUUGUCAAAAGGGAAGCGUUUGACACCAGUGUUGUUUUCUCGAAAAUCAAUUAAAAAAGGCAGGAUUUUGUGUUGUAUUGACUUUAUCAGCUUUCUGCACUCUUUUCUUGUCUUUUUUAAUGCUACUUUUCGUUUAACAAGUCAGCAUCAAUUUCUUUUGUUGUAAAAGGGUCAUUGGAAGGUGGCUUUCUUUUCGGAGAAAGUGUUUAUAGCCUUUGGCCUCUGCAAUCGGAGAGAUUGAGGUCUGCAGCGUAGAUCCUUCGGGGUUAGAUACAUUUGUGCUAAGUUAUAGCCUUUCAUAGACAACUUGUUGACUAUGAUCAGUCAUGUAGCUUACUCGCUUAUGCUAUUUUACCUACGCUUAGGAUGUUGAAGAUGUAGCACAUCAU
rnacentral:rRNA from 1 species